GACCAUCGUCAGUUCCAACCUCCAAAUCGUUGUCUCUCAAUUUCAUUUUCUUGGUGCUUCGACUCGAUUCAGGGUUUUCAGAGUUAUCAGUCUCUCUACUGGGGAGAAAGCCUAAAAAGCAUUUGGAAUCCAUGAUUAAUGGUUGUAGGCUGUGUUUGAUACUCGAUGCUUGAGCUUGUGGCUAAAUUAGUGGGGGAAUCAGAAGGCAAAGAAGAUGAAGUCAGGUCAUGUUUAGGCGAGGAAGAGAUGGCUGCGGCAGGCGAAGGUGUGAUGCUUGCCAUAGCUGAACAACUAUCUUGCCCUGGAGAUGAAAUGGAGGGAUUAUGAUUGCUAACUACAGAAUUUGCUGCCACCAAUUCCAAUAUUUUUAUUCUUUUGGAAAGAAAAUGCAAAAAUAGUGCUCAUCAGUUGAAACCAGCAAACCUUUUUCUCUGGAAUUGGAAAGCAGACACGAAGGCAUUUGGUAAAUAUUUUGGCCCAUUAGAAUAUAGGAACAGGUAGAAAAUGACAUCAAAAGAAGGUUCUGAAACUUGGAGUGGUUUUCUAUUCUUCAACAAAACUACAUUGAAGAUUUUUGUGAGUUCAUCUUAUAUCACAGUUAAAGCUUCUACACGGAGGUAGCUGUUAUUCAUGUCAAAUUAUCUAAAAUAGCAUGAAGACGCAAGUUUGAGUUCAUCUUACCGACUUGUACUCUAAGAUAGUCAAAAACGUUGGAAUAUCUGUACACUGUUCUAUGGUGUCAUAUGCACGCACACAUCUGCCAUGGAUAUGCACAAAUACAUAACAUAAACCCAUAUCCCCAUUGAGCACCA